GAGGCAGGGUUGCCUGAGGAGAACCGACAGUGAGAAGACACACGGAUGGUCACCCACAGCCAGGCCAGCGGGGGCCAGGCCGAGCGGGGUUCCACCUCAGCCUGUGAAUGGAGCUCCUUGGGGCUCAGGAUGAGCCACCUCUGAGCACUGUGCAGCCACCAGCAUGGCCUCACCUGAGUCUGAGGAGUUUGCAGUCACCUGUGGGGCCAGGAGGAGGCCACUGGGCUCCUUGGCAAGUUAUAAACCUUCCCAGCACCCCGCCUGGCCAGGCUUUUCUGUCGGCUGCCCCGGAGUUUCCAAACAGAUGGCAGGUGUCGGGGGUGUUUCGAGAAGCACCUGGUCAAGUCCAAAAAGGAAACUUUAGUUCCUUCACACCUUCUGGUCCGGGGCCACCUCAGCGUGUGCACACGAUGGUCAGCAGGGGCUGACCAGGGACUCAGUCUCAGACAGUUUUAAACACAUUCAAGAUGUCCCCUCGGACCUGAGCUGAGCCUGGGGUGCCUCAGCGCCUGGGCCCCAGCAGGGCUUUCUCAGGCCUCCAGGUCCAACUGGCGCAGGCGAGGCCUGGACUCCUCCGUGUGCUGCCCUUGGCCUUCCAGGACCCCGGCUGGGCCUCGACCUCCCUGCUCCAAGCUAUGGCAGCAACCCCGGAGGCCAUUCUCCUCCUGGCCGACUCCUGUGAGUCCACCGUGGGGCAGUGGCUCUCUGGCAAAUCUCCCUGCCCGGUUCCUGCCUUCCGAUCUCCUCCCAGAGCCUGUGGGCUCCGGGCUGGCUCAGCAUUUCUUGUUUCCAGAACAUCCGCUGACUUGGUGAGUGAAGGAAUGCUGCUUCUCCCCAAGGUGAAAGGGUCCCCCGCAUUUGCUUUCUAGAAUCAUCUUUCUCAUUAUAGCCUCUGCUCCUGCCUUCCACCAAAAUGUCACGGAGUUCCCAUUUCCUGAGGCGAACGGGGAGGAGAGAGGAAAGAAAACUUAUCUGGUGUUUGUUCUGCAUGACUAACACCGAGCUAAACUUUAUCAGGCCAAGCUUAUCACAAUGAGAAGAUCUGGCUGGAAUGCUGUUUUUCUCUUCCCGCCCUUUCCCUUCUCUUCUCCCCAUCCUCUGAAGGCUCCUCCCCAGACCAGGGGAUCGGAACCUCUGGGGGAUGGGACCAGGCCUGAGUUCUUUUCGUUUUUUUAAAAAGGUGUCUCAGGUGCUUCUAAUGGGCAGCCAGGGCUGAGAACCACUGCUUCAGGGUAAUUGUUGUCAUUAGGACUAGAAAUCCCAGAGGCUAUAGACGGGGAAGGGGAACAGCAGUAGCUACAGUGCUAUCGCUGGGACGCGGUGUGCCUCUUUCCUUUGCCCUGUUGUUCUUCACGUUGGCUCCUAUUUCAAGCCCCAAACUCAGAGUCACAAGAUGGCUGCAGCAGCUCCAGGCUUCACAUCCCCUCAGCUUCAAGUCCUCUGGAAAGAAUGUCCAGCCCAUGACCUGCUGCCUCUCAUUGGUCCUUGAGCUCUCUAUCUCUGGAGAAAAGCAACCAGAGCUUGAGGAGAGCCCUGCCUCCUGCCUCAGGGCAGGCUGUUGGCCCAAGGGGGGUUGUGCCAGCCCCACCUGGCAUCCUGGCCACUGCCCUCAGGUAUCAUGAACUUGGCAGGGAACAAGGGUUCUUCCGCUGAAGCUGUGACCAGAUCAACUAGACAGCCACUUGGCAGCACCAUAUGGAUGUGCAUGGUGGUGUGUAUGCUUUAGUCCCUGCCUGGGAGGUCAGAAACUGGCGUGGCAAACCCAACUAGCAUUCCAAGAAAGAACAAUUGUGUUCAUGGUAGCUCAAGGAUGGAGGCUGGAGUGAUCCAGGGAGAAUUUCUGGAGAAGCUAGGAAGAUCAUUUAGGUCCUGGAAGGGAACAGACGGGGCACCAAGUGGGUUCCUGAGGAGAGAGAGCUCAGGGAAGUUUCACAAAGGGGACGGUGGGGAUGGAAGAAAUCCCCCUGGGUUGGGGUGCUCACCACCCUGGCUGGAAGGGGCAGGGCCAGGGAGUGUGUCAGAGCCUGGAGCUGGAGCAGAGGACCUGGUCUAGAGCUGUUGGCCAGGGUCCGAGGAGCAGGCCCUGCUAAUCCGUAGCUGAGGACUCAAUUCUGCACCUCCACCCCAACCUCAUGCUGGGCCCUUCCGUCGGAUGAACCCAAGCGGAAGCUGAGAUGCAGGGCAGGGCGGGGAGGCCGAGGAAGACAUCUAACCAGCAGGGGUUCCGUGGAUCCUAGCCUGCAUUUCAUCUCAGCAAUGUCUGGUGCAAAGCACAGCAGCCUCUUUUCACGAUCAUACUGCUCCUGUUUAAUCAGAAAAUGUGCCCGGCCCGGAACUCGGUGUGUGGCUUUAUUUCCAGCUGGAUGCCUCCCUUUCUCUAAGUGUUAGCAUCUGAACAGCCCCGCAUUUGGAGUAAGUGCUCCUUCUGCUCCUUUCCUU
rnacentral:lncRNA from 1 species